GGAAGAUGAUGCUGAAUUGUUUCAGCAGAUUCCACUUGGUCAAAUCGGGGACUUGUAAUUCGAAGUUUGGGAGGAUGCACCAGAACCAUACUGUUAUGCUGCUGCACGUUAGAGAUGCCUUCUGUGUUCAAGUGGAAAGCCAAGAUGGAAAGACCAAAGCCCAGCUGGAGAAAUGGAAGGACAAAAGGAAAGGAGUCAAUGGGAUUCGUCGAAUGAUGUUGUGGAUGAGGAAACCAAGAGGAGAGACCAGAACCUGAAGGGAGCACUAGAAGACUUAAUAAGAGAAUACUCCAGUGAAUUAAAUGCACCUUUCCAAGUUCAGGAUGCACAAGCUCGAAGAAGAAAAAUACCUAGGACUGUCAGAACCAUUUCCUACAGUCUCAGAGUUUACAAUGACCAUAGAGGGGCCCUGGAACCUGAGAUUGUUUUCACACCCAAAAGUCUCAACCAAGCGGAGUGAUUUCCCCCUUGUCUGGAAAGAUAUUAUCCCACAAAAGUUAUGUAUAAUUUCAUGAAUUGUGUAUGUCAUCAUGCUACCAUGUGAUACGUUUGUGCCUCGCUUAAAGUAAGCGUGAAGCUAGACUGACAUCUUGGACUCCCGAGUCUUCUUCAAAUCAGUUUUAAUGUUUUGAAGUUACAGAAGAAAAGUGAUGAAUCAGCAUAUAGGAGGAAGAUCGAGAAUCUGGCUGAGUGGUGCCACAAUGGCAGCAAGAGCAAGGAGGUAAUUGUUGAUCUCAGGAGGAAACCAGAGGUCCAUGAGCCAGUCCUCAUGGGAGGAUCAGACUUCAAGUUCCUUGGUGUUAUCAUUUCAGAGUACCUGUUCUGGGCCCAGCACAGAAGUGUG